UCUGAUAGACAGAACCCCUCUUUAAGAUUUCAUUUCUUUCCAAAUGCGAUUUCCUUGAUGGAACAUUUUUGCAGGACACGCUACGAUACUUAUGAAAGCAUAUCUCAGUGAAUUCAUCAUCUACAGAUAAUACUUCUUUGCUGGAUUUGGGAAUUCCUUUGCUUUUUCUCCUUUCACCUUUUAGACGGUGCCGUGGAGAUGGAAGCACAGUUGUAGGACUUCCAUCUACUGUACAAUACUUGUCGAAUUCCAACUCCAUAUCUAGUCAUAUCAAUGGAUCUACAACCUAUCAAGAACAAAAUAACAGGUAAUCAGUAGAAUAAAACAGCUACUAACAUAAUGCCCUAUUUUUCAAAACAAACAUCAAAUAAUACAAUCAAUCACAUAAAGUUUUGAACUUAUCCCAGUGAAUUCAUCAUCUACAGAUAAUACUUCUUUGCUGCAUUUGGGAUUUCCUUUGUUUUUUCUCCUUUCACCUUUUAGACGGUGUCGUGGAGAUGGAAGCACAGUUGUAGGACUUCCAUCUACUAUACAAUACUUGUCGAAUUCCAACUCCAUAUCUAGUCAUAUCACUAGAUCUACAACCUAUCAAGAACAAAAUAACAGGUCAUUCACAGUAGAAUAAAAAAGCUAUUUACAUAAUGCCUUAUUGUAUUUCAAAACAAACAUCAACGAAAUAUAAUUAAUCACGUAAAGUUUUGAACUUUAUAG
rnacentral:lncRNA from 1 species